rnacentral:tRNA from 2 species
UGGGGGAUCGUCUAAUCGGCAGGACGGCAGACUCUGGAUCUGCUAGUCGGGGUUCGAAUCCCUGUCCCCCAGCCA